CUUCACGAGGUAUCCAAGGCCUUCUGAUAUUCACCCCAGCCGAUCUAGCCUCUCCUCAUCUCCUGGCCCUUGCCUCAGUGAAGCCUUGGAGUCAGCCAUCAUGAGUCCCAGGUCCCUAAAGCUUCCAGCAAAGUCCAGUUCCUGGAUGAACUGAUGCUUCUCCUGGAGGCCCAGUGCCACCAAAUGGGGACCGACUACUCAAAGGCCUGAUACCGCAGAAGACAUUUCAUUCAAACCACCACACCGACAGAAUGUAUAAUCCAGAGACUGGGGCACCAAAGAUACUGGGAAAUUCUCUUAAUAUUCUUCAGGGGAGAU